UACGAGAGGCCCAAACGUUAUUCGGAUUUACUGGGCUUAAAGAGUUCGUAGGCGGCGCGGAAAGUAGGGUGUGAAAGCCCUCGGCCCAACCGAGGAAUUGCGCUCUAAACUGCCGCGCUCGAGGAACCUAGAGGUGAGCAGAACUGAUGGUGGAGCGGUGAAAUGCGUUGAUAUCAUCAGGAAUACCGGAGGCGAAGGCGGCUCACUGGGGGUUAUCUGACGCUGAGGAACGAAAGCCAGGGGAGCAAACGGG
rnacentral:rRNA from 1 species